AUGUAUCUUGGUCCAAAUAACAAGUGGAGAGAUAUUACGUUAAUGAAGAAUCUGAACCAAUUCCGCGGGCACUUGGAGCUUAUUGAUGUUCACUUGCUAAGUAAGGAUCAUGCCGCAGAACUAAACCUGAAGAAUAAGAAAUAUCUUGAUGAGUUGAAACUGAAUAUGCGGGAGGAUCGUCCCACAGGUUUCCCUGAGUCUGAUAUCCAGUUUGAUAUCGACAACAAUGACAUCGAAGUGCUUGAAGUUCUACAGCCUCCUAUCAGUCUCAAGUCUUUGUUCCUCAAAAACUAUGACGAUAUCUGGCUCCCAAGUUGGUUUCAACCACAUAACCUACCAAGAUUAAAAUCACUUACUUUUGUACAUUGUUUUCAACUCGAGAGCAUAUCACCUCCUGCAUCACUUGACAAAUUGGUGAUCAAGGAUUGUCCAAACCUAGUUUCAAUUGGUGGAGCAAAGGCACUUGCAAAAAUAAAGACCGUCGAGAUAUCCAUGUGUCCAAAGUUAAAGGAAGCGGAGUAG
rnacentral:rRNA from 1 species